rnacentral:lncRNA from 1 species
CUGCUGGCAGCUUGAUUUGAUGGCUGAGUGUUUGUGUUUGUAGGAACGAAAAGGCAGCUCAACUCCCCUCCACCUCCUCGUUAACCAGGGACAGCAGUGACCCUGAAACCCGGAGCAGCGUGGGAACAGACCCACACAGAAUUAUGGGAAAGGAGGUUAAAGAGGAGCAAAAUCGUCUGAAGGGGUUUACGGCCGGGAGAGACGCCGAGCGCUACGGGAAGCCCGCAGACAGCCGGGAUGCCUGUGCCAGCGAUGUCCCCCUCAAACUCCACACAGCCACUGAAAGUGGGAACGCGUCGAGGCCCGAGUCCAGCGGCCACACACCGCUCCACACGCAACUCCAGAAGUUCACCGUUUCUGCAGACAAGGUGCCUAUUUAUUACUUCACCAUUACACAAGACUUACACAAUCGCUUAUGCUGCG